AACGCGAAGAACCUUACCUGGGCUUGAACCGCACCGGACCAUCUUUGGAAACAGAGACUUCCCGCAAGGGACCGGUGUAGAGGUGCUGCAUGGCUGUCGUCAGCUCGUGCCGUGAGGUGUUGGGUUAAGUCCCGCAACGAGCGCAACCCUUACUCGUAGUUGCUACCCGCAAGGGAGAACUCUAAGAGGACUGCUCCGGAUAACGGAGAGGAAGGUGGGGAUGACGUCAAGUCAGCACGGCCUUUAUGUCCAGGGCUACACACGUGUUACAAUGCAUGGUACAAACCGUCGCGAACCCGCGAGGGGGAGCUAAUCGGAAAAAACCAUGCUCAGUUCGGAUUGCAGUCUGCAACUCGACUGCAUGAAGCCGGAAUCGCUAGUAAUGGCGUAUCAGAACGACGCCGUGAAUACGUUCCCGGGCCUUGUACACACCGAUAGC
rnacentral:rRNA from 1 species